CUUCUUCGAUCUGCUGCGGGCAGAUGAAAUGGAUAUGGCUGUCGAUACCGCCCGCGGUGAGGAUGAGCCCUUCGCCUGCCAGAAUCUCGGUGCCCGGGCCGAUGACCAUGUCCACGCCCGGCUGCACGUCCGGAUUGCCCGCCUUGCCGAUGGCGGCGAUGCGCUGGCCGCGCACGCCCACGUCGGCCUUGACGAUGCCCCAGUGGUCGAGGAUGAGCGCGUUGGUGAUGACCAGAUCCAUCGCCCCUUCAGCCCGGGUGCGCUGGCCCUGGCCCAUGCCGUCGCGGAUG
rfam:Thiomonas bhubaneswarensis strain DSM 18181 genome assembly, contig: Ga0061069_103